rnacentral:rRNA from 1 species
GAUGAACGCUGGCGGCGUGCCUAAUACAUGCAAGUCGAGCGAACAGACGAGGAGCUUGCUCCUCUGACGUUAGCGGCGGACGGGUGAGUAACACGUGGAUAACCUACCUAUAAGACUGGGAUAACUUCGGGAAACCGGAGCUAUACCGGAUAAUAUAUUGAACCGCUUGGUUCAAUAGUGAAAGACGGUUUUGCUGUCACUUAUAGAUGGAUCCGCGCCGCAUUAGCUAGUUGGUAAGGUAACGGCUUACCAAGGCAACGAUGCGUAGACGACCUGAGCGGGUGAUCGGCCACACUGGAACUGAGACACGGUCCAGACUCCUACGGGAGGCAGCAGUAGGGAAUCUUCCGCAAUGGGCGAAAGCUUGACGGAGCAACGCCGCGUGAGUGAUGAAGGUCUUCGGAUCGUAAAACUCUGUUAUUAGGGAAGAACAAAUGUGUAAGUAACUAUGCACGUCUUGACGGUACCUAAUCAGAAAGCCACGGCUAACUACGUG